GCCGCUGUGGCUCAGCUGGUAGAGCGACACCUUGGUAAGGUGUAGGUCGCGGGUUCAAAUCCCGCCAGCGGCU
rnacentral:tRNA from 1 species